UGAGGAAUAUUGGUCAAUGGACGGAAGUCUGAACCAGCCAAGUAGCGUGCAGGAUGACGGCCCUAUGGGUUGUAAACUGCUUUUGUAUGGGGAUAAAGUUAGGGACGUGUCCCUAUUUGCAGGUACCAUACGAAUAAGGACCGGCUAAUUCCGUGCCAGCAGCCGCGGUAAUACGGAAGGUCCAGGCGUUAUCCGGAUUUAUUGGGUUUAAAGGGAGCGUAGGCUGGAGAUUAAGUGUGUUGUGAAAUGUAGACGCUCAGCGUCUGAAUUGCAGCGCAUACUGGUUUCCUUGAGUACGCACAACGUUGGCGGAAUUCGUCGUGUAGCGGUGAAAUGCUUAGAUAUGACGAAGAACUCCGAUUGCGAAGGCAGCUGACGGGAGCGCAACUGACGCUUAAGCUCGAAGGUGCGGGUAUCAAACAGGAUUAGAUACCCUGGUAGUCCGCACAGUAAACGAUGGAUGCCCGCUGUUGGUACCUGGUAUCAGCGGCUAAGCGAAAGCAUUAAGCAUCCCACCUGGGGAGUACGCCGGCAACGGUG
rnacentral:rRNA from 1 species